CCUCUAUUCUUGGCAUGCACAUUGUUUCCUCGUGUGUAUGGAGGAACAAAAUGCCCAGUGCUAUGUCUUCGGUACCAGAAUGUUUCUCGUCUUCUGGUUCUAUCCUCAAUCAUUGGUACACUA
rnacentral:snoRNA from 1 species